ACUGGUUCCCGUACAAACACAGAAGUUAAGCAACAUAGAGUCUAGUCAGUAUCUAGAUGGGUGACCACUUGGGAUUACCACGUUCUGUAAG